rnacentral:rRNA from 1 species
AACAGGAUUAGAUACCCUGGUAGUCCACGCCCUAAACGAUGUCAACUAGGUGUUGGUGGGGUUAAACCCAUUAGUGCCGUAGCUAACGCGUGAAGUUGACCGCCUGGGGAGUACGGCCGCAAGGCUAAAACUCAAAGGAAUUGACGGGGACCCGCACAAGCGGUGGAUGAUGUGGAUUAAUUCGAUGCAACGCGAAAAACCUUACCUACCCUUGACAUGUCAGUAAUCCUGGUGAGAGCUGGGAGUGCCCGAAAGGGAGCCUGAACACAGGUGCUGCAUGGCUGUCGUCAGCUCGUGUCGUGAGAUGUUGGGUUAAGUCCCGCAACGAGCGCAACCCUUGUCAUUAAUUGCCAUCAUUUAGUUGGGCACUUUAAUGAGACUGCCGGUGACAAACCGGAGGAAGGUGGGGAUGACGUCAAGUCCUCAUGGCCCUUAUGGGUAGGGCUACACACGUCAUACAAUGGCCGGUACAGAGGGCUGCCAACCCGCGAGGGGGAGCUAAUCCCAGAAAACCGGUCGUAGUCCGGAUCGCAGUCUGCAACUCGACUGCGUGAAGUCGGAAUCGCUAGUAAUCGCGGAUCAGCUUGCCGCGGUGAAUACGUUCCCGGGUCUUGUACACACCGCCCGUCACACCAUGGGAGCGGGUUCUGCCAGAAGUAGUUAGCCUAACCGCAAGGAGGGCGAUUACCACGGCAGGGUUCGUGACUGGGGUGAAGUCGUAACAAGGUAGC